rnacentral:rRNA from 1 species
GACGGAAGGUGCAAGCGUUGCUCGGAAUCACUGGGCGUAAAGGGUGCGUAGGCGGCGUGACAAGUCACUUGUGAAAUCUCUGGGCUUAACCCAGAACGGCCAAGUGAAACUGUUGUGCUAGAGUGCAGAAGGGGCAAUCGGAAUUCUCGGUGUAGCGGUGAAAUGCGUAGAUAUCGAGAGGAACACCAGAGGUGAAGACGGGUUGCUGGGCUGACACUGACGCUGAGGCGCGAAAGCCAGGGGAGCAAACGGG